CUUUUUUUCUUCCUUCUUCUUUUCUUUCUUCUUCUUUCUUUUGGUGGUUGCUCUCACUUCUUCCUACCCUCCACCAACCAGCAGCUGCCACCAGCCACUUUUUCGGCCAGUUCUGGUUGCCGACCAGUCACCAUUUUCGGGCAACAUUCAUUCAAGCCUUUAGUUUACCCAUUUCGCUCCAAAUCAAGGUGCAAUUGAAGGAGUCUACACUUGGGUUCUAUUGUUGAUUGGAGUAGCAAGCUUGAGUAAGUGAAGCUCAAGAAUUUGAAAAGUUUUAGGUAAGAAAAGGAGAGUCUAGUCCCGGUACCAGGGUUGCAGAUCAGGAGAAGCGUGUGUGACAUGGAUAGGCCCUUGGAGAGUAAUAGGACUAGAUGGUUCUAGAAUUUGAUUAUGUUACUAGUAUUUUGUCAUACUUGUUUUUCUUGAUUGAGAUAUGUUGUGUGAUACUUCAAUUCAAUGGUUGGAUGGAAGGUUGGGAGGGUGCUCCGUGUGAUCGGGACCUCUGAAGCCGGUUUAUGGACUUCAUGUCCUGAUAAUUGAUUAUGCAUGCAGGAUUGCUCUUUACAUUGGUUGUUUGAUUAUACAAGUUAUUGUGUGUGGAAAUUUAUAUGUGAUUGUUAGGUGGCCUAAGACCCUGCUUAGAUUUGAGAAUUUAUUGAUGAUA